rnacentral:rRNA from 1 species
UUAAAUUGAAGAGUUUGAUCAUGGCUCAGAUUGAACGCUGGCGGCAGGCCUAACACAUGCAAGUCGAGCGGUAGCACAGAGAGCUUGCUCUCGGGUGACGAGCGGCGGACGGGUGAGUAAUGUCUGGGAAACUGCCUGAUGGAGGGGGAUAACUACUGGAAACGGUAGCUAAUACCGCAUAAUGUCGCAAGACCAAAGUGGGGGACCUUCGGGCCUCAUGCCAUCAGAUGUGCCCAGAUGGGAUUAGC